rnacentral:lncRNA from 1 species
GUUUAGUUUCCAUUUCAUAGGCUUCAGAAAGGAUCUAUUAUAAUUGAGCAACUAAAUUCCCACGACUUUGAGUCUUUCGUUAUGGGAUUCUGCUGAUUCAUGUGCUCACUUGACUAUUUCGUGUCAUAUUGGCUGCAACUAGUGCUGUCGUGUGGGGAACAAGGAUUGAGUCAUAUUGUCCAACAAUAUAGAGAUAUUGCAGCAGCUCCUUGAUAGUGUUGAUUAAUUGAUCGACUUCCCGUCAAACAAUACUUUGAAGUUCCUAACCUCGGUCACUUUGGAGCCCUUUUUUAUAUGGGCUAAAUUGCAGUAGAACUCUUUGAUCAAGUGUUUGUUGGCAUUCACACAAAAGUCUAGAAAGUGCUCCCAACCCACUCUAGUUUUGAACUGUCUCUGCAUAUUAGGGUUGUGGGGCAGUAGGUCUCUAUCAAUGAAGCUCCGCUCCGGUAUCAACUCCUCACCGGCCACCACUCCCAAAACUUGUGGUACGCCACCUUGCUAACAAACCUAUCUUCC